CUUAAAGUUUAUCCACGGUGGCAGAUGGACAGAAGUAGGAGACUGAGAAUAUUGUUCAACAAGAUCCCCCUGAGUCUGACUCAUACUUCCCAUGGCUACUGGAGUAGAACGUCAUCAUCCCUUACCCUGGCAGCCCUGCGGCAAAACCACUGGCCCAGUCCUCAGUUGUCUUCCAUCACCCUGCUGAAACACGUGAGAACUUCCAAGAAGCUGAAACCCAUUGCGAAGAUCUGCAUUAAGGUCUGGAAGAAUGAUAGACUAAAAAGGAGAUGACUGCUGUUGGCAAUUACAUAGCCAGGCUCACUUUGAGCAGCUUGGGCUUCUUCAGAUAUUAAGAGCUGACAUCGUAUUAUCAGAUUAAAAUAAAACAAUUCUGAGACCUCA
rnacentral:lncRNA from 1 species